UUCUCCAUUUACCUUGGUCCUCCAACGUGUGUCGAGGGCUCCGGAAUGAGAUGUGUCCUGGUCGCUCCCGUGCGCUGCUACUUCGUCUGGACUGGCAUGUCUUCAUCAGCUGGCUGAAUGAGGUCUUCAACUGCAGAGUCAUCAUCAUCAAUUCCUACAAUGAAAUACAGUAAUGAGCGG